CCUACGGGAGGCAGCAGUGGGGAAUAUUGGGCAAUGGGCGCAAGCCUGACCCAGCGACGCCGCGUGCGGGAGGACGCUUUUCGGAGUGUAAACCGCUGUCAGAGGGGACGAACGGCCGGAGUGGGAAUACUGCUCCGGAGUGACGGUACCCUCAAAGGAAGCGCCGGCUAACUCCGUGCCAGCAGCCGCGGUAAGACGGAGGGCGCAAGCGUUGUUCGGAAUCACUGGGCGUAAAGCGCGCGCAGGCGGGUGUGCAAGUCGGAAGUGAAAUCCCGGGGCUCAACUCCGGGGCUGCUGCCGAAACUGCACAUCUGGAGACCGGUAGAGGUGGGUGGAAUUCCCGGUGUAGCGGUGGAAUGCGUAGAGAUCGGGAAGAACACCUGUGGCGAAGGCGGCCCACUGGGCCGGAUCUGACGCUGAGGCGCGAAAGCGUGGGGAG
rnacentral:rRNA from 1 species